rnacentral:rRNA from 1 species
UACGUAGGGUGCAAGCGUUGUCCGGAAUUAUUGGGCGUAAAGAGCUCGUAGGCGGUUUGUCGCGUCUGCUGUGAAAACGCGAGGCUCAACCUCGCGCCCUGGAGUGGGGUACGGGCAGACUAGAGUGCGGUAGGGGGAGAUUGGAAUUCCUGGUGUAGCGGUGGAAUGCGCAGAUAUCAGGAGGAACACCGAUGGCGAAGGCAGAUCUCUGGGCCGUAACU